UUUAAUUGAAGAGUUUGAUCAUGGCUCAGAUUGAACGCUGGCGGCAGGCCUAACACAUGCAAGUCGAGCGGCAGCGGAAGGGAGCUUGCUCCCUUGCCGGCGAGCGGCGGACGGGUGAGUAAUGUCUGGGGAUCUGCCCGAUGGAGGGGGAUAACUACUGGAAACGGUAGCUAAUACCGCAUAACGUCGCAAGACCAAAGUGGGGGACCUCAGGGCCUCACACCAUCGGAUGAACCCAGAUGGGAUUAGCUAGUAGGCGGGGUAAGAGCCCACCUAGGCGACGAUCUCUAGCUGGUCUGAGAGGAUGACCAGCCACACUGGA
rnacentral:rRNA from 1 species